UACGAAGGGGGCUAGCGUUGCUCGGAAUUACUGGGCGUAAAGCGCACGUAGGCGGCUUUCUAAGUCGGGGGUGAAAUCCUGGAGCUCAACUCCAGAACUGCCUUCGAUACUGGAAAGCUCGAGUCCGGGAGAGGUGAGUGGAACUGCGAGUGUAGAGGUGAAAUUCGUAGAUAUUCGCAAGAACACCAGUGGCGAAGGCGGCUCACUGGCCCGGUGCUGACGCUGAGGUGCGAAAGCGUGGGGAGCAAACAGG
rnacentral:rRNA from 1 species